GCCUUUGUAGCUCAGUUGGUAGAGCGCGGCACUAGUAGCAUCCUACAGUUGAUGCCGAGGUCUUGAGUUCAACUCUCAACGGAGGCA